rnacentral:lncRNA from 1 species
UUAGGAUUGCGACCCGGCCCCAGGAUUAGGAUUGGGACCCGGCCCCAGGAUUAGGAUAAAUACCUAUAUCCAGGAUUACGAUUAGUACACUGGUAUUGGAUUAAGAUUAGGGCACCGCAAUAAUUGGCAAUUAUGAUACUGCUAUGUAGGAGGACUAUCAAAUCCAGCUACCGUUCAGACUGGGUUAGAAAGUUGCUAUGCCAUGUCAUACUAAAUGAUGUCGCGUGUGAUGUGUGCGCUCAUGCUCCUGAUCACGGAAGCCAUACGCUCCAGGAGCUCCAGCCAUGCUUCUGACAGGCGUCUGCUGAUCAGUAAAAUUGCGAUAAAACAAUCUGCAAAAAUUGACGAGGACGGUCUAGACACGAAGACGUAUGGAUGGCGUCCGCGCCUCCUCCGGAACCAACUGCACGACAUUGAGGGACGCUUCCAAAGGCAGUCGCGUGGUAUGCGUCCUUAUAAAAUAUUAGUAGGUUAAAUGUCGGAAACUUUAUGAAUAAUUUUUCUACUAUGCGCACGUGCUAACAUUACUGGCUCAACAUCAUAGGUCGACAUCGUGUUACGAGGCAUGUCCUGCUUAUUGGGUUGUACUUCAUAGCUGCGAAAGCCCCUGGUAUUUAUGGCAUUGAAGGUCUCUGCUUCGCUGCCAUUGUGGAUGGUGGUCCAUUGGAUCACCUCUCUCAGCUACUCCUUCCAAGGACGUGUUUGCUCUGCCUGCUUGUUGUUAAUUCUCGGGCUUCGGGCUUUGUUUGAAUGAGCCUAUUGUUAUGCGCACAUGUUAACAUCUUUUGGCUCAAUAUCAUACGUAGACAUCGUUUCACGAGGCAUGUCCUGCUUGUUGGGUUGUGCUUCAUAGCUGUGAAAGCCCCUGGUAUUUAUGGCAUGGAAGAUCUCUGGCGCGCUGCAAGUGUGGAUGGUGAUCCAUUGGAUCACCUCUCUCAACGUGCAUUUUAUCUUCGACCGCCCCACAGUCGCAUCUGCAGAUGCUUGAAUCAAGGUGUUUAGACGCAGUAUCCCUGCUUAAACUCUUCGUAUGGCACGAUACUGCAGAAAUGGCCAGGAUGCGCAGCUUCGUCAGCCUGCUUUUUAUGUUUCAAGUUUUACUUCGUUUGAUCAUAUACCCGCUGUAAAAUUGCAUUGGUUUUUUACGCAUUUGCAUUGCCAUCGCC